AGAGAAGAGAUGCCCAAGGAGGAGGCGGUUGGCUUUGUCUGGGUGCCCAAGCCCAGACCCAGAUAUCCAGGCCUCUGCUCCCUUCCCUGAAAGGGUGCUGUGCUUCAUAAAAAAUGAGAUUAGAAAACGAGAGAGGAAAAUAUUUUUAAUGGAAUCAGGGAAUGUGAAAAGCGGUACAUGCGAAGAGGAAAAGAUACUGCAGUCCUGGAGUUCGACCUCUGCAGAGGACAUCUGGAAUGCUCUGGUCCAACACGAAAAAGAAGAAAUAAGCGAUGAAGCCAGGCACCCAGUCAGUGGCAGAACCGACAUUAGAGCCCAGGCCUCUUCGUAAUCAGUCGUCUUCACCCCCUUUCCAAGGAGAGAGGUGCUUAGAGGCCUAGACCAGGCCCUACAGCUUUGGAGCCAGGGCACCAGAACCGCUACUACCCUCACCUUCUCUGUGCCAGGUUGAUUUCUUUCUUUUUCUUUUCUUUUCUUUUCUUUUUUUUCUUUCUUUCUUUUUUUUUUUUUUAGACAGAGUCUUGCUCUGUAGCUCAGGCUGGACAGUGCAGUGGCACGAUCUUGGCUCACUGCAACCUCUGCCUCCGGGGCUCAAGCGAUUUUCAUGCUUCAGCCGUCCGAGUAGCUGGGAUUACAGGCAUGCGCCACCACACCCGGCUAGUUUUUGUAUUUUUUUUUUUUUUUUAAGUAGAGACGGGGUUUCUCCAUGUUGGCCAGGCUGGUCUCGAACUCCUGACCUCAAGUGAUCCGCCCGCCUGGGCCUCCGAAAGUGCUGGGAUUACAGGCAUGAGCCACCUUGCCCGGCUUUGCCGGGUUGAUGUCUGUCUGUGGUUCUCAUGGGCAAAGAUGACUCCCCUAUUUACUUUGCAUAUUUAGGCUCUCAACUUGUCAACUGAUGUCAAGUUAGGGUAUUUUUGAUUGAGUGGAGAGUAAGGUAAAGGAAGAAUAGAAAUUCUUGGAACUUUCAUCAGUGCCCGGAAUCCCUAGGUGUCUGUGGUUUGACCGUCUUCUCAACACCUCCCCUUCCCCCCAUUCAGUUGGUGCCAAGUCCUUGGCAGCGUCACAUUCUUCUUUCUAUUCUUAUCACUCUAGUUUUGGGCUCCAUGACCUAGUUUUGGGCUCCAUGGAUUAUUCUGAGGGCCUCCUGGUCACACCCUGGGCGCCUGUCCUCCACACCCUAUCUUCACCAUUUCCCCCAUCCUAUAAGCAGCCUACAUCUAAUGUUGCUGGCCCCCUGCUUAAAAAGCCCUGAAAGGUUCCUCACCGCCUGUGGAAUGAAGUCCAAACUCGUCACUAUGACUUUCCCUGUGCCCUCCCCCACAGUUUCCUUUCUUGGUUUUUCCCCUUCAUCACUUCUUCACUCAUACUUCAGCCAGAUGGGACUAUGUGUUACACACUGAACAUUUUUCCUUGCCUUCACACCAGCUUCAAAGACAUAUCAUGAGCUGGGCAGAGUCUAGACAAAUGUACUUAGCUGAAGUCUUUCCACUGGGCACUUUCCCAUCUGAACUUCGCUGGUCCUCCAGCAGACCCUAGGAUCUUUUCAUCUCUAGUAGCCCAGUCCAUAUUCUGUUCUUGUUCUCAGCUGAUUAUCAAGUAUUCCUUAGUAAAGCAUUAACUGAUAAUUGAAGUAUUAACUGAUAAGGAUGUAACCUAAGAACUUGCCUCAUGGUUUUUGCCUUUCAAAAGGAUAUGCUUUGGGCCAGGCAUGGUGGCUCACGCUUGUAAUCCCAGCACUUUGGGAGGCCGAGGCAGGGGGAUCACCUGAGGUCAGGAGUUUUGAGACCAGCCUGGCCAACAUGGUGAAACCCCAUCUCAACUAGAAAUACAAAAAUUAGCCAGGUGUGCUGGCAGCCACCUGUAAACCCAGCUACUCAGGAAGCUGAGGCAGGAGAAUUGCUUGAACCCAGGAGGCGGAGGUUGCACUCCAGCCUGGGCGACAAGAAACUCUGUCUCAAAAAAAAAAAAAAAAGUUUGGAUGCGCACACUGGGUUGAAACUAUAAUAGUGAAAUGAUAGGUAGGGAGCUUGUUCUGUUGGCGCGAGGACCCACCUCAAAUAAAAAUAACAGAGGAGGAAGUUGAAGCCCAGGUUCUCACCUUGUUGAAGGUAAGGGACAUGACCAGAACAUAUGGUAAGUACCAGAACCAGGGUUCAAAAACAGGGCUUUCCAUCUCCAGUAACUUGAUGUUGCCCACUACUAAGAAAAGCACCUUGGUACUUCCUGUACCCAGACAAGAUCUAUUAAAAUAAUACUAUCUAUCUCAAAAGCUUGCUGUGGGAAUUAAAUGAGAGAGGACAAGCAAAGCAUUUCACAUCAUGCUUGGCACAUAGCACUCAAUAAUUGGUAGCUUUGCUUUAUAAGGCAUAACUUAAGAUUUUAUUGCAUGUGAAUGUUAACCGUAAAUAUUUAAAGAUUUUUAUUUAUUUUUAAUUUUUUAAUUUUUUUUUUUUUUGAGCCAGAGUCUGUCACCCAGGCUGGAGUGUUAUAGCGCGAUCUUGGCUCACUGUAACUGCCGCAUCCCAGGUUCAAGCGAUUCUCCUGCCUCAGCCUCCUGAGUAGCUGGGACUACAAGCACGUGCCACCAUGCCCAGCUAAUUUUUGUAUUUUUAGUAGAUACAGAGUUUUGCCAGGUUGACCAGGCCAGUCUCAAACUCCUGACAUCAGGUGAUCCACCCUCUUCGGCCCCCACAAAGUGCUGGGAUUAUAGGUGUGAGCCACUGUGCCCAGCCUAAAGAUUUUUAAAUAACAAGGUCUGGAGAAGUCACUUCAUAUCUCAGCUUUAAACUCUUCCACAUGUCAAGUGUUCUUGAAAAUUAAGUUAUAUGAAAAAAUCAUGGUGCCUUUGAAAGAGGGUAAUAGUGCCCAAGGUCAGCUCAUAAAAAGCUAUAGAGCAACUCCAACUUUAGUGUUUAAUGAGUAAAUUUAAGCUAGGCAUGUAAAUUACAAAUAAGAUUAGUUCUGGCAUUAAAAAGCAAAGUCCUUAGGAGGAGAAAUAUUAAAAUGAAGAAGAAAAACUUCUCCUGGUUGGGGAAAGGAUCCUACUCUUCAUUAUUUCCUGCACAAUGUUCCUGGUAGAGAUGAAUAAGUAAACAAAAAAACUUAAGACUUAAGUGGAUGGUAGAUUCUAAUGCUCCCUCCUGCUGAUCUAACAAAAUACCUUAGACUAGCUAAUUUGUAAACAACAGAAGUGUAUUGCUUACAGUUCUGGAGGCUGGGAAGUCCAAGAUCAGGUCAUCUGCAGAUUUGGUGUCUGGUGAGGGCUCACUGUGUUUUGUAUAUAGCAUCUUCCCUUUGCAUCCUCAUAUGGUGGAAGGGACAAACUCCCUCAAGCCUCUUUUAUAAGGGCCCUAAUACCAUUCAUCAUGGUGAAGUCCUCAUGACCUAGUCACCUCCCAAAUGGCCCGCCUCUUAAUACCACUACAAUGGGAAUUAAGAGUCAACAUGAAUUUUGGAAGGACCUAAGCAUUCAGACCAUAGCAAGCAUGAAAAAGUUCUUUAAUUAUAUCUAAGAGUUCUGCAAAGAACAACUUCAAGUAUAAAGUUUCAAAAGUAGACUGUGUAUUAAGUUUCAGAAAUAACACUUUUGAGGGAAAUAUUUAAUGCAAAGAGUAAGCUGUGCAGAGGAAUAGGCAUACAUUCUAAGUCUCCCAAGGUUUUUGAGACAGGGAUAUCCAACAGCUUCAUGGACACCUGGCCCAGCUACUCACUUGAGCUGGAGCACCCCACCCUCUAUCUGCCUAAUAUUUUCUCUUCCUAAGAGAGAGAGAGAGUCUAACUAAAAGAGUCUCUUUGUAACUAACUAUUCAGAAGCUCUCCUAUUGGGCAUAGAGUUUUAUGCCAAGUGACUUCAGAAGCAGAUGGCCUCCCUCAGAUACAACUUAAACUUGGUCAUUUUUGCCUUGGUCAUGGGAUCUCGCCAUGACUAAUGGGUUCCUGUUCUCAUCAUUGAGGCCAGUGUGGUGUUGCCUUCAUCCAUGCACACAGCAUGAACUGCGGCAGUUUGUUUGCAAAAAGAAUCUCUAGGAAUAGCUUUCCUGAGAAGGGAACUGUGGACAUGUGAGUCCUUUAGAGCUCCAUGGGUUCUCCUCCAGCAUGCCAUUGUGCAGGGGCUUUCCCUGAUUCAUUUUCAAAACUGGCUAAUGACUUAUUGGGUAUACCAGGGGCCGCUGUGACAUUCUGCAUUCAUCUUGUAGCUGUAUUUGGCCAGACUGUGGGUAUGCAAUGUGAUAAUCUCUCAGUGUCACUCAUUAAAAGUCAUCCUUUAUUGAUGUCAUCAGAUGGUUAGAGAGCUUGGUAGGCUUUCAAGGUGAGCCUUCUGGAUUAUGUACAUACAGUUGGCCCUUAAACAGCAUGAAUUUGAACUGCCCAGGUCUACUUAUACAUUGGUUUUCUUCCACCUCUGCCACCCCUGAGGCAGCAAGACCCACUCCUCCUUUUCGUCCUCCUCCUCAGCCUGCUCAGCAUAAAGACAAUGAGGAUGAAGGCUUUUAUGAUGAUCCACCUCCACUUAAUGAAUAGUAAAUAUAUUUUCUCUUCCUUAUGAUUUUUUUUGACAGGGUCUUGCUUUGUUGCCCAGGCUGGAGUGCAGUGGUACGAUCUCAGCCCACUGCAACCUCCACCCCCCAGGCUCAAGUCAUCCUCCCACUUCAGCCUCCCAAAUAGCUGGGAACACACGUGCAUCACCAUGCCUGCCUAAUUUUUUUUUUUUUUUUUUUUUUUAGAGAUGUGGUCUCCCUGUAUUGCCCAGGCUUGUCUGAGAAUCCUCAGCUCAAGCGAUCCUGUCGCCUAGGCCUCCCAAAAUGCUGGGAUUACAGGCAUGAGCCACCACACCCAGCCCAAUAAUAGCCAUUCUAAAUAGGGAGAGAUAAUAUUUCAUUGUGGUUUUGAUUUGCAUUUCUUUGAUAAUAGUGAUGUUGAGGACUUUUUAUAUACCUGUUGGCCAUUUUUAUGUCAUCAGAGAUGGCUAUUCAGCUCAUUUGCCCAUUUUUAAGUUGGAGAUAUAUCUCCAACUUAAAUGUGUGUGUGUAUAUAUAUAUAUAUCCAACUUAAAUGUGUGUGUGUAUAUAUAUAUAUAUAUCCAACUUAAAUGUGUGUGUGUGUAUAUAUAUAUAUAUAUAUAUAUAUAUAUAUAUAUAUAUAUAUAUAUGGCUGUUGUUUGAAUUCCUAGUAUAUUCUGAGUAUUAAUUCCUUGUCAGAUGAAUAGUUUGCAGGUAUUUUCUCUCAUUCUUCAGAUUGUAUCUUCACCCUGCUGAUUGUUUCGUUUGCUGCACAGAACGUUUUUAGUUUGAUAUAAUCCCAUUUGUCUAUUCUUAUUUUUGUUGCCUGUGCUUUUGAGGCAUAUUCAUAAAAUCUUUGCCAAGACCAAUGGCUUCAAGUGUUUCCUCUAUGUUUUCUUCUAGUAGUUUCACAGCUUCAGGUCUUAUACUUAAGUCUUUAAUCCAUCUUGAGUUUAUUUUUGUAUAUGGUGUGAGGUAGGGCUCUAGUUUCAUUCUUCUGCAUGUAAGUAACCAGUUUUUCUAGCACCAUUUAUUGAAGAGACUGUCCUUUCCACAAUGUAUAUUCUUGGUACCUUUGUUGAAAAUCAGUUGGCUGUAAAUAUGUAGAUUUAUUUCUGGGUUUUCUGUUCUAUUCCGUUGGUCUAUGUGUCUCUUUUUAUGCCAGUACCAUGUGCUUUGGUUACUAUAGCCUUGAAGUAUAUUUUGAAGUCAGGUAGUGUGAUGCCUCCAGCUUUGUUCUUUUUGCACAGGUUUGCUUUGGCUGUUGGGGUCUUUUGUAGUUCCAUAUGAAUUUUAGUAUUGUUUUUUCUAUUUCUGUGAGGAAUGUCAUUGGUGUUUUGAUAGCAAUUGCAUUGAUUCUAUAGAUCACUUUUGGUAAUAUGGUCAUUUUCACAAUAUUAACUCUUCUAGUCUAUAAACAUGGGAUGUCCUGUGAGAUGUCCAAAGACAUCCCAUGUUCACAGACUGGAAGAAUUAGUACACACAGACACACACACACACACACACAAAUAUGUACAUAUUCCGAUGGAGGUUAUUGAAGACCCAGGAUUUGGUCCUUGAUUUGUAGGAUCAGAAAAUUCACUUUAUUUAAUUCAGAACUGACCUCUUUAGAAAUUGAUUCUUAAUAACCCCACUCAGAAGAGACCAUUUGUUAUCCACCUGACCAAGUUAUUAUUUUAUCUCAGAGAAUGAAGCUGGCAGGCUGACCCUGGUCAUAUGCUUGAGGUACUUCCUCCUGGUGGAAAGGCAUUCCUAGGAGAUCAAAUUAAAGAUCUGAAGAUUUGGUGAAUAUUAAAUUACAUUAAAGGGAAUUGAAUGUCCUUUUUUUUUUUUUUUUUUUCCCCGAAACAGACUCUUGCUCUUUAGCCCAGGCUGGAGUACAAUGGCGCCAUCUCAGCUCACUGCAACCUCCAACCCGGGUUCAAGCAAUUCUCCUGCCUCAGCUUCCCAAGUAGCUGGGAUUACAGGUGCCUGCCCUGUAAUUAGCAUGCCUGGCUAAUUUUUGUAUUUUUAGUAGAGACGGGGCUUCACCAUGUCGGCCAGGCUGGUCUCGAACUCCUGACCUCAGGUGAUCCCCCCACCUCGGCCUCACAAAGUGCUAGGAUUACAGGUGUCAGCCACUGCACUCGGCCUGUUCUUAAGGGAUACAUCUAGCAGAUUGACGAGGCCUUAACGAAUGACCUUCCUCCCCUCAAAGGACAUUUCAGUCUGGAUGACUGAUUUGGAUUAUUUAUGUCAAAGUUUUUGGAGACUUUUACCACAUCUUUCUCUCAGGUAACUGCCGUUUUGCUGAACUUCAAGGGACCAUUUCUCUUAUGCCAUUAACAGCAUAGUUUGGAGUUGAGAAGACCUAGGUUAAAAUCCUAGCAGUGGGAUUUGUUGUAUCAUAGCGAACAAUUCUCAUCACCCUUUGAAUUUCGAGAUCCCUGUAGUUAAAAGUGGAAAUAAUCAGAGCCUUCUCAAUGGAUUGUCAUGAGGAUUAAUGAAAUAGUGUAUGUAAAGUUUCUGGCAUUGUGCCUGACACAGUAGCUGCUCAACAAACGGUAGCUAUCAUUAUUGCUUACAUCAUGUACAUAGAUUUCAUUCUCCUUGCUGAGAUGAGACACCCUAAAGUACAUCACCCAUGCAUUUAUAAAGCAUCUCUAAAAGCUGUUACUUUGGCCGGGCACAGUGGCUCACACCUGUAAUCCCAGCACUUUGGGAGGCCGAGGCGGGUGGAUCAUUUGAGUUCAGGAGUUCAAGGCCAGCCUGGCCAACAUAGAGAAACCCUGUUUCUACUAAAAAUACAAAAAUUAGCUGGGUGUGGUGGCGGGAGCCUAUAGUCUCAGCUACCUGGGAGGCUGAGGCAGGGAGAAUUGCUUGAAUUCGGGAGGUGGGGGUGGCAGUGAGCCGAGAUUGUGCCAUUGCACUCCAGCCUGGGAGACAGAGUGAGACUCUGUCUCAAAAAAUAAUAAUAAUAAAUAAAUAAAAGCUGUUACUUCUUUAAAAUGCUACUGAUACCUUUGUGGUUAAUUUUAUAUUGAUUACUUUUUAUGCUGAAUUUCAGAAAGUGACAUUUUAUGAUCGCAUCUCUGAUUUUUGUUAGAGAUCAUCUAAUUUCAUGAAACUGAGAGCGUAUCCAGUUUAGGGCUUGCAGCCAUCCAUGAACUGUGUGAAAUUUAGUAAUGUCUGUUGGGCUUUCAUAGGGCAGAUAUUUGAGAUCCAGUUCUUUUGUAGAAUGAAGUAGACUCCAUUAGAGACUGGCAAAUUCCCUAUAAUUAAUUACAAUUUUUUAAAAAAAGCAUGUCCUCUGGGAGAUCCCUUAGAAUUUUCCUCACUUGUAACUGUAGCUGAUCUAUUGUGCUGUUUUACAAAGAGGGGGCAAACUCAUUAAAGUUUUUGGAUCCUAUAGUACUGAAAUAUUACUCAAAAGUUCAAAUGGGCUUUGAUUUAUUUAUCUGUUUUGGAAGCUUCAGACUUUUCAAACCAUUAUGGCCGUUAAUGCAUCUGAUACAAGAUUGGAUGUGAUUAUAGGAACUUUGAGAACAUAAAACAUACUGCUUUUUUGCAUUUCUGAAAAAUUCUUACCAAAAGGAAGAAUUUGACUUCUGUCCAGAAGGAGUAUCUGAUUUGUUUGGACUCUGGAUAAACUCGAGCUGUGCAUAUUUGGCCAAGAGUUUGAUUUGUGGACUGAUCAUCGAGCCGUGGGCAAGACUCAGGCUUCAGAAAGCGAUGUCAGUGUCAAGAAUCCCACAUGAACAUUAAAUAUGCUUCUGGACAGAUAAACACUCGAGCCAAAAAAAAAAAAAUCCAUCUCAUCAAGAGGGCAGAGGAACAUAAGCACUGAGCAACUUCUGAACCUUCAGGAAGUGGACGCUACUCCACAACAUUUUGUUUUUGUUUUUGUUUUUGUUUUGAGACAGUCUUGCUCUGUUGCCCAGGCUGGAAUGCAAUGGUGCGAUCUUGGCUCACUGCAACCUCCGCCUCCCGGGUUCAAGCAAUUCUUCUGCCUUAGCCUCCCAAGUAGCUGGGAUUACAGGCAUGCGCCACUAUGCCCAGCUAAUUUUGUAUUUUUAGUAGAGAAAAGGGGACCCCCAUACACUGUUGGUGGGAAUGUAAAUUAGUAUAACCACUGUGGAGAACAGUUUGGAGGUUCCUCAAAAAACUAAAAAUAGGACAUAUGAUCCAGCAAUCCCACUGCUGGGUAUAUAUCCAAAAGAAAGGAAAUCAGUAUAUUGAAGAGAUAUGUGCACUCCAUGUUUAUUGCACCACUGUUCACAAUAGCUAGGAUUUUGUUUUGUUUUGUUUUGAGACAGAGCCUUACUCUGUCACCCAGGCUGGAGUGCAGUGGCACAAUCUCGGCUCACUGCAACCUCCGCCUCCUGGGUUCAAGCAAUUCUCGUGCCCUAGCCUCCUGUACCUGGGACUACAGGCACCCAGCACCACACUUGGCUAAUUUUUGUAUUUUUAGUAGACGCGGGGUUUCACCAUGUUGGCUAGGCUGGUCUCGAACUCCUGGCCUCUAGGGAUCCACCUGCCUCGGCCUCCCGAAGUGUUGGAAUUACAGGUGUGAGCCACUGUGCCAGGCCUCUGACAAAGCUAAGAUUUGGAAGCAGUCUAAGUGUCUAUCAACAGAUGAAUAAAUAAAGAAAAUGUGGUACAUAUACACAACGGAGUGCUAUUCAGCCAUAAAAAAAGAAUAAGAUUCUGUCAUUUUCAGCAACAUGGAUGGAACUGGAGAUCAUGUUAGGUGAAAUAAGCCAGGCACAGAAAGACAAACAUUGCAUGUUCUCACGUAUUUGUGGGAUCUAAAAAUCAAAACAAUUAAACUCAUGUACAUUAAGUGUAGAAGGAUGGUUACCAGAGGCUGGGAAGGAUAGUGGGGAGGGGGUGGAAGGAAGGAGGAUCAUGUUAAUGGGUACAAAAAAUAGAAGGAAUAAGACCUACCAUCUGAUAGCACAACAAGGUGACUAUAAUAACUUGUCAAUUAAUAAUAACUUAAUUGUACAUUUUAAAAUAACUAAAAAAGGGCCGGGCAUGGUGGCUUAUGCCUAUAAUCCCAGCACUUUGGGAGGCCGAGACAGGUGGAUCACGAGGUCAGGAGAUCGAGACCAUCCUGGCUAACACGGUGAAAACCUGUCUCUACUAAAAAUACAAAAAAUUAGCUGGGCGUGAUGGUGGGUGCCUGUAGUCCCAGCUACUCAGGAGGCUGAGGCAGGAGAAUGGCAUGAACCCGGGAGGCGAAGCUUGCAGUGAGCCGAGAUCGCGUCACUGCACUCCAGCCUGGGAGACAGAGCAAGACUCCGUCUCAAAUAAAUAAAUAAAUAAAUAAAAAUAACUGAAAGAGUAUAACUAGAUUGUUUGUAACACAAGGGAUAAAUGCUUGAGGGGCUGGAUUUGCCAUUCUCCAUGAUGUGAUUAUUACACAUCGCAUGCCUGUGUCAAAACAUUUCACGUACCCCAUAAAUAUAUAUACCUAAUAUGUACCCACAAAAAUUAAAAAUUAAAAAAAUUUAAAAAAUAAAUAAACACUGACUGACAAAUGCUAAUGAGUGCCAGGACACUAAUAGAGUGCCACAACAGAGAAUAUUGGGAGGAGCAGGGAGACCCUAUUUACACAGGUGGUCAAAGAUGACCUCUCUGUGUGAGACCUGAAGGAUGAAGAGAAGCCAGCCUCCGGGGGUGGAGAAAACAGGACUGAGAUGAUUGUAAGGUGAGAGAAAGCUCAGGGGAUUCAAGAAAGCUUAAGGUGUGGCUGGAAGACUAUUGUGAGGGAAGCCUGGUGAGGUUGUGAGAGUUGGAGUCAGGUUUUAUUCUAAGCACAAUGGAAAGCCAUGGAAUGGCUUUAAAGUGUAUGUGCAUUCCUCUGUGCGUACGUAUGUGCAUGCACGUAUAUGCGCGUGUGUGUGUGCAUCUGAUAUAUCGUCUGGAGCAUAUUGUAGAGACCCAUGAGAAGGUUCCCCACUAGAAUUGGUAGUUAUGACCUCGUGAUCCCUACUACAGCCUUUGAUGAAACAUCAAAAUGUCACUCAAGCAUGAGCUUGUCCAUCAGCAUGAGACAUGAUCAAAUAUGAAUUAUCAAAGAAAUUUUCCCCAGUUCUGGGACACACACAUGACCAGAUGUUCCAUGUUGGGUAGCAUAGCCUGAUUUUUUUUUUUCUGAUGCUGAGUUUUGCUCUUGUCGCCCAGGCUGGAGUGCAACGGGCGCGAUCUGGCUCACUGCAACCUCCGCCUCCCGGAUUCAGGUGAUUCUCCCUGCCUCAGCCUCCCAAGUAGCUGGGAUUACAGGUGCAUGCCACCAUGCCUGGCUAAUUUUUGUAUUUUUAGUAGAGACAGGGUUUCAUCAUAUUUGUCAGGCUGCUGACCUCAGGUGAUCUGCCCGUCUCGGCCUCCCAAAGUGCUGGGAUUACAGGUGUGAGCCACCGCACCCGGCCGCAUAUCCUGAUUUUUAACUUCCAGCCUCUUGUUCCAAUGCAAUCCUCAUAAUGUCCCUUACUGAUGUCCCUCUUUGUUGCAUCCUGGGUCUUGCUCCUUUUACUCCCCUCUCUUUUCUUUCUCUUUUGAUCUCCGCCUGUCCUUCCUCUUCUCUCCUUUCCCCUCCCCUCUCCAUCCUUCCUCUCCUUCUCUUCUCUCUGCCUUUCUCAUUAAGAGUCAAAGUUCCUUGCCAAACCACAGCUCUUAGGUUUCUAUUUUCCCGAACAGAUUUCUUGGCUGGUUUUACAGACUUUUCAAUUGGUUCUCUCUUCUGCUUCCAUGUAGUCUCUUCUCUGUUUCCAGUCACUGCUCCUAGACACUCUCCUCCCCUCCCUUAACAAGCCUAACCCCUAGGUUACAAAGUUUGAAAAAUGUCAACAGGAAAAAGGGCUCUUCCUGUAGCCCUGUAAAAAAGAAGACGUGAAGGAGUUAACCUCGAGCGACAUCAGUCUCCAGCCAUCAGUACAGUGAGGCAGUUCUUGAAAACCAGACAGAACAGAAGGUAUCACUGUGCAACGUCCCUUCUGUGGCUCACGGCGCCCUCUGAGUCAGGAUAAUGAGAGAACAUUCUUAAAACAUGACCUAACCACGCUCUGUCCUCAAACAAAUUCCUGGAUGUGUGUGGAGUAAGCUCUCCCAGCAAGCCUGAGCACAGACGUGCGGGGCGGGCUUGUUAGCACUCUUCUGAGUUGCUCCCUUUACAAAGCCACCUUCCCAGCCAGUUCAUUUGUAUUAAAGUAAACUUUUAAAAAUAACCAGUCAGUCUGUCCAGCAAACAUGCUAUGGGCCUCUUAUGGCUGUACUUUCAUAAUUUUAUAUUGUGGCGACUGGGUCUCUGUCUUGGGGGGUAUUUGGGGGCCUUUGACUUCACACUGUAGCAGGAAGAAGUUAUGCAAAAUUCUCGUCAGAUAUAGAAAAAAGGAAACAGGAUAUCAUUCAUUUCCAGAAUGGAGCAGAAUCACAACACAGUGAUUGUGAUUGCAGAGUGUCCUUUAUUUCACCUACACCUGAAGUUGUGUGUGUGUUUGUGCGUGUGUGUGUUUAAUACAGGCGGCUUAUCUGAGUGAUUUUAAGAAAUUAAUUUAAUUGAAAAAUGAUUAAAUUACAAAGAGAGGAAAAAGCAUUUGGUUGGCAUUACAUGGGGUCAGAGGCCACUGCUAAUGCAAUAUUUCAUCAAUUGCCUCAUUGCUAUUCUUUCAAUGAUGUGAUUUAGUUUCUCAAAUAGCUCUUAUCCUGGCAGGCUUGCCUUAGAUACAUUGUACAGAGGCCUUAUAAUCAUUACAAUGUAUUUACUUAAACAUUUUAAAAACAAUUAAGCACUUUUAGAUAUAUUUGUGUAUGUGCGUGCGUGCAUGCAUGCGCGUGUGUGUGUGUGUGUGUGUGUGUGUGUGUGUGUGUGUGUGUGUACAUGUCCACAGAGGGAUUUUAUAAAUGUCCGGACAAGGGUUCUGAGUGAACACUAGGACAAGUGUUGAAUUUAUCCACUGUAGUGCCCUUCAUGCAUUUCAAAGAGCUCCAUGCAGACUCAUGUUAAGCUUUUUUCAUGCCCUUUGAAUAUACCACUAUCUCCCUUUAAUACACUGAAGAAACAAGAGGACAAAGAGUCUCCCUGUGUUCCUUAUCCAAGGCCACACAACUGUUGCUGGAACCUUGAGCUUUCUGAGUGCCAGGCACUUACUUGCAGUAUAUCGAACGCUGGGAUAUGGUGGAGGUUUAGUUUGUUAAAAAGUGUGAUAGCCCUAUGAUUGUGGGAAAAAGUUUUGACAUACUUUGUUUUUUAUUUUAAUGCAGAUCAAGUCAUUAUAAUGGUCUUUCUCUUAGAAGGCUACUGAGGUUGGGUUAAACAGUAACAGGGGUGCUUGGGAAAGGGUAGAGCAACAUUUUGGCAGCAUAUGAAUGGGUAUGUGUGCACAUGGGUGGUAAUACCGCAUGCCCUGACCUGUCCUAUGCCUCUUCCCCUUCACCUUUGUUUCAAAAUGUUGUGUCCAGCGUUGAAAAAUGCUGGCACAGUUUGAUGCAGGUGUUUGCAACCUCCUUCACCCCAAAUGCCAUGGUGGUGGGGAUGCUAGGCUCUCUUAGCAUCCCCCUCCUCGUGCUGCAUGAGGUGGGAAGGCAAAAUCAUGUAUUCAUUCAUCAAACGCUGAUCAAGCACUUAAGUGCUAAGUACUGUUCGAGGUUCUGCGGAUUCACAGAGGAAUAAUAUUCGGUCUUUGUGCUAGCGGGGAGGUAGGAAAGUAAACAAGGCCAUAGAGUAAGCUCUACGAUAGAGGUAGAUGUGGGCCUGGGUGGUGGUGGGGGCACAGGGGAGAUGAAGGAGAGGAAAAGGAAGGUUCUCACGGUGAGGGAUGGUGAAAGGCCUCCAAGAAUUGCUGGAGGCCCCAUUCAGUGGUGGGUGCUGGCGCGUCAGUUCCCUCUGAGAGGAAGCAUUUCUCAGCAGCACCAAACACUGGCUAGACCUUGAGCUAGAUGACGUUUGUUGUCAACUCUCCCAGCCUUCCUGUCUGCGCCCUUUCCCUCCCUGUCUGGAAGGAAGCUCCCAACAGCCUUUUCAAAAUCUGCUUAGGGCAGCUAUGCAUAAUCAAUAUUUAUUGAAUCAAAUUGAUCUGAAAAGUAUUCGCACUACGGUAUAAAUGGCUCAUACAGGGUACACCUGGGCACAUGUACCUGGAAGCCUCAAGCUAAAAGAGCUUUUGCCAGCUCAGCAGGAGAGCUUCAUAGUAUGUUGGAGGCUCCUACACCCGAGUGCACAUUUUCUGGAUGGUUGCCCACUUUUUCUGUACUUUAAGCUGGCCCUACUUCCAAGCGCCCAGCCUUACAUGUUUUCCCUUCCCUGCCCACUAUUGUGGCUAUAUGAUAAGGCAGGAUGAGGGCCGAUAACUGCUAGUCUCAGACCUUUUGGCUAGAAAUGCCACAAGACUACAGCAACAACUGCUUUGAAGCCUGGGAGAGACCAGUGAUGAAAAACAAAGUUGCGGCCAGGCACAGUGGCUCAUGCCUGUAAUCCCAGGACUUUGGGAGGUCAAGGCGGGCGGAUCACUUGAGGUCAGGAUUCAAGACCAGCCUGGCCAACAUGGCGAAACCCUGUCUCUACUAAAAAUACAGAAAUUAGCUGGGAAUGGUGGUGCAUGCCUGUAAUCCCAGCUACUUGGGAGGCAGAGGCAGGACAAUCACUUGAGCCCAGGAGGUUGCAGUAAGCCGAGAUGGUGCCACACACUCCAGCCUGGGUGACAGAGCAAGAAAGAAAGCAAAAGUAAAACAAAGUUGCAGUGAAUGGGACUGGACGUUUAAAUGUCUCUUUUAAAUGCACUCACUAUUUUGGUUCAUGGUUUACCACUCGUAUGUUUACUGCAUGAGGGCAGAACUGGUGUGGCACAUACAUUGAAAUUCUACCUCUAAUGUGAGAUAGAAAGCAGGGGGAACUGACCAGGAACCUCCACCUUAUUCCCAGUCAUAGCGUUCCACUAGGAUUCUCCCAUGGACCAUAUUUCAGUGUACAAAAUUGUCAUAUUCACAGAAAGUACCACAUUUGUUUCCCCAACCAUCAGGGUUGUAUAGUUACAGUCAGUGCCCUGUGCAGUAAAGACUGGCAAUUGGAUGUUUUUCAGACCUUCAACUUAGUUCAUUAUGAGAAGCUGUCUAAAAAAACAAACAAACAAGCGAACAACAAACUACAGUCUUCAAUUAAAGGUUCAGAGGCCAGGCACAGAGGCUUAUGCCUGUAACCCCAGCACUUUGGGAGGCCAAGGCAGGCAGAUCACUUGAAGUCGGGAAUUCAAGGCCAGCCUGGCCAACAUGGCGACACCCUGUAUCUACCAAAAGUACAAAAAUUAGCUGGGCAUGGGGUGGUGCUCGCCUGUAAUUCCAGCUACUUGGAAGGCAUGAGAAUCACUUGAAUCACCCAGGAAGCAGAGCUCACGGUGAGCCGAGAUUACACCACUGCACUCCAGCCUGGGUGACAGAGCAAGACUCUGUCUCAAAAAAAAAAAAAAGAGGUUCAGAAAGUGGACACCUUUUAGCACUAUCUAAUAGAAAUAUGAGUCAUAUAAGUAAUUUCAAAUUUCCUAGGAAUAAUAUUCAGAAAAGUAAAAGGAAAUGGGUGAAAUUCAUUUUAAUAACAUAUUUUACUAAACCCACUAAAUUGAAACAUUGUCGUUUCAACAUGUAAUGAAUAUUUUUUAUUUUUAGAAUCAGAGCCUCACUCUGUUGCCCAGGCUAGAGUACUGUGAUGCAAUCAUGGCUCAGUCAACCUUGAACUCCUGGGCUCAAGCCAUCCUCCCACCUUAGCCUCUUGAAUAGUUGGGACUACAGGCCUGUGCACCACCACACCCAGUGAUUUAUUUUUAUUUUUAUUUAUUGUAGAGAUGGGGUCUCGCUAGGUUGCCCAGGCUGGUCUGGGACUCCUAGGAUCAAGCAGUCCUCCUGCCUCAGCCUCUGGACUACAGGUGCAUGCCACCUUGCUCAGCUAAUUAAAACAUUUUUUUUUUUUUAAUGGAGACAGAGUCUUGCUCUGUCACCCAGGUUGGAGUGCAGUGGCAUGAUCUUGGCUCACUGCAACCUCUGCCUCCUGGGUUCAAGCAAUUCUACCUCAGCCUCCCAAGUAGCUGGGAUUACAGGCACCCGCUACCAUGCCCGGCUGAUUUUUUGUAUUUUAGUAGAGACAGAGUUUCACCAUGUUGCCCAGGCUGGUCUCGAACUCCUGAGCUUGGGCAAUCCACCUGUCCUGGCCUCCCAAAGUGCUAGGAUUACAGGCUUGAGCCACCACGCCCGGCCAACACUUUUUUUUUUUUUUUUUGAGACAGAGUCUUGCCACCCAGGCUGGAGUGCAGUGGCACGAUCUCAGCUCACUGCAACCUCUACCUCCCAGGCUAAAGCAAUUCUCCUGCCUCAGCCUCUCAAGUAGCUGGGAUUACAGGUGUGUGCUACCAUGCCCAGCUAAUUUUUGUACUUUUAGUAGAGAUGGUUCCAGCUACUUGGGAGGCUGAGACGGGAGGAUAGCUUGAGUCUGAGAGGGUGAGGCUGCAGUGAGCUCUGAUUGCGCCACUAUACUCCAGCCAGGACAACAGAGUAAAACAUUGUCUCAAAAAUUAAAAAGAAAAAGAAAGAAAAUGAAAAACAAUGACCACACCUCUAUAUGUGUGUGUGUGUGUGUGUGUUUGUGUGUGUGUGUGUGUGUGAGAAAUGAAUGUUCUUUGCUGGCAAUCUGACAUACAGGAGAAAUUAACAGAGUUAAUGGCUAUUCUGGCAUCUGCUCCCAAGCCACUGAGACCACAGAAUUAGAGGAUGGGAAGGGACCUUGGAGAUCUUGUUAACUGUGUCCUGGACCCUCAUUGCAAGGAAUCAGAUUCAACUGGCCUAGGGAGGGGUCUAAGUAUCAACAUUUUUAGACGUCCCCUAGGUGAUUCUAACGUAGGGGCUGGGCUCUAAAUGCAGAAACAUCCCUUUUGUUUUAUAGGUGAAGAGACAGGGGCUAACUGAGGUCAGUGACUCAUCUUACAGCUUGUUAGAGGCAGAGUGAAGCCCGGAAUCCGGAUAUUCUUCUCUACCCAGCUCACACAGAGGACAUUUCCAUAAUACCUUCAUCAUGGGUCAUUCUCUUGCUUAACCCCAGAGUUGCUCUCAUUUUGAAUUGAGACACAUUCCUCCGCUUAACCUAGCUUAGACACAAACUUCAACAAACUUCUCUGAACCCUUACUUGCCAAGAAAAUCUUCAGAUCAGUGAAAACAUUGAAGUGAUUCUGGUCCGGGACCAUGGCUGUAAAUGCCUCCCAUUUUAGACCCAACUGGGACCUGACACCCUAUACUGAAUAUAGAGUUUAAUUAGAGGGUACAGGGAGGGGCCCCAAAGAAGCAAACACUUGAGUCUGAUGAGUCUCAUUGAUGCACAGCCUAAGCCAGAGUGACCCAUUAACAGGGUCUCACACUCAGAUAUAUCUGAGUUCAGAGCAGGUAAUGCAUGUGAGUAGUGUGGGUUAGGUGGGGGCUCUGGCCCAAGCUCCUCCUAGCUAUGCGGGGAGGAUGCAAUGCAAGUCCAGUCCUUCCAAUUUCUCAAAGAAGUCGCAAAUUUGGGUUUUUGUUUGUUUUGGUUUUUGUGAAAAACCCUGUUUUGUGAAUGUUGGCAACUAGUUUGAUUUUUAGAAAAACACUGUAAGAGUCAAAUAAAACCCACUCGUGAGCUAUAUUCUGCUUGUGAGGCUUCAGAAUACAUCUUUUAGAUAAGUCCAAGACUUUUUUUUUUUUCAGAUGGUCUCGCUCUGUUGCCCAGGCUGAAGGGCAGUGACACACAGAUCACUAUAGCCUUGACCUCCUGGGCUCAAGCCAUCCUCCCAUUUCAGCCUCCCGAGUAGCUGGGAUUACAGACAUACACCACCAAGGAAUAUGACUUCAUCAUAUUCAAUAUCGAGUUUUACUGGUUUCUAAAAUGUUGGCCUAAUACCAUCAUGUAGGUUGAGCAUCCCUAAUCCAAAAAUUCAAAAUCCGAAACUUUUUUUUUUUUUCUUUUUUUGAGACAGAGUCUUGCUCUGUCGCCCAGGCUGGAGGGCAGUGGCACGAUCUCAGUUCACUGCAAGCUCUGCCUCCCAGGUUCACGCCAUUCUCCUGCCUCAGCCUCUUCAGUAGCUGGGACUACAGGAGCCCGCCACCACGCCCGGCUAAUUUUUUUGUAUUUUUAGCAGAGAUGAGUUUUCACCGUGUUAGCCAGGAUGGUCUUGAUCUCCUGGCCUCGUGAUCCGCCCGCCUCGGCCUCCCAAAGUGCUGGGAUAACAGGCGUGAGCCACCGCGCCCGGCCCAAAAUCCGAAACUUUUUGAGCGCCAGCAUGACACCACUAGGGGAACGUUCCACACUCGACGUCAUGUGAUGGGUUCAGUCAAAACAUUGUUCCAUGAACAGAAUCAUUAAAAAUAUUGAAUAAAAUUACCUUCAGGGUAUGUGAAUAAGGUGUAUAUGAAACAUAAAUGAAUUUCGUGUUGAGACUUAAUUCUAUUCUCAAGAUAGCUCAUUUUGUAUACAGAAAUAUUCCCAAAUCUGAAAAAUAUCUGAAAUUCGAAACACUUCUGAUCCCAAGCAUUUCAGAUAAGGGAUACUCAACCUGUCCUUACCUUGCCUUAGACAUUGUGAAACUGAUGACAGUCAACACUGGUACCAGAAGGAAAAGUAAUUCAGAAGUCCCACCUCUGUUCCCCUUUUAAAUGUUACUCAUUUUCUCACUUUCCACUUUAUUAUUUAUUUUGGGUGAGGCACUUGUGAUUUUUUUUUUUUUUUUUUGAGACAGGGUCUCACUCUGUCACCCAGGCUGGAGUACAGUGACACGAUCAUGGCUCUCUGCAGCCUUGACCUUCCCAGUCAAGCUCAGGUGAUCCUCCCACCUCAGCUCCCGAGUAGCUGAGACUGCAGGCAUGCACCACCACACCCGGCUAAUUUUUGUAUUUUUUUUUUUUAAGACAGGGUUUCACCAGGCUGCCCAGGCUGGUUUCGAACUCCUGGGCUCUAGUGAUCCACCCACCUCAGCCUCCCAAAGUAUAGGCACGAUUCCACGACUCCCAGCCAUAAAUUUUCAUAAUGAAGUUGAAAUUAAAGAUUAUUACAGUUCAUAAGAUCCAUAUAAUUUAUUUCAAAGUUCUUUUUGAAGUUGUGAGUCAGGCUUACUAGCAUCACCAUGGGAUAGAUACUAGUUCUGCUAUACACAACUAUGUAAGGAAAAAUGUUUUCAUUCACUGCAAAAUGAGACGGAAGCUUACAUUGUAGCACUGGGGCAACCUCUUAGCCAAUGAAAUGAUAUUGCAAAUAAAAAGCAAAAUUACUCUUACCCACAUUCUUCAUUUUAAGAAAACACCCUUGGAUAAGUACAUAGAGUGAGAGUCCUUGAUUUGAACUAAUCUAAGGUAUUAAUAAUAACAGGUGAAUGCUUAGAUAAUGAUUUAAGAGUUGAUGCUAAUUUACCCUUUAAUUGGAAGUAUUUAUAAAGCAAACAUAAAUGUAAGUUAUUUGUGAAGCAUAUAAGAGAUGAACAGAAAAUAUGCAUGUCAUUUGUAUUUUAGUUAUUCUCCCUACACAUACAUAACCUUGAUUUUUGCCACAGUUCGUUUUUCUACAUGUAAAAAACUUAAUUAGAUUGUGUGCUUGUGACAAUCAGUUUCAAGUAUAUUUCUGUGAGAAGCUCCACUGUCCCCAAAUAACCAGAGGUAGGUAACAGUUUCUGACAAAAGCUUGAGGGAACAGGAUUAAAUGAUAAUUACAGCGAUUAUAUUUUAUCUAAAACCUUCAAGUCUCUGGAAAGCUGCUUGGUUUCUAUUUUGGGCCAUGCUGCCCACAUAUCUUAACGACAGAAUUUAUGCAUAAUUUUGCUCUUCCUGUUUUUAUCUCUGUUUGGGUGUAUUUAUUACUUCAUAUGUGGUGAUGCAAGGCUCAUUGAAAGGUCCAUUUAUAUCCUGGUUAUCUGCAUGGGGAUCUAGCUGCUUUUCUCUCGCUGUUUCUAGAACUCUCACUGUAACAUUCAGAUUUGCUGGCACCCAGCCUUUUCCAGCACAUAUACAUUCCGCUCCCUCAGUGACUCUAUUUAUGGGAGUCUAUGUGAUUUACUCAAGACUAAUAAAGACCGUGUAGAAGGAUGGGUCAUGGAUUUAUCCAUCCAUGGAAUUUUAGCGCAUUCAGAGGGAGGUUUAUCUUCUGUUCUUCCCCCGCUACCCCCCAAUUUAAUUAAAACAACAAAAAAGGCGUUAGUCCAAAUGAGGGACAGUUGGCAGAUCUGCGUUAUUCAACUGGAGGGACUCCCUAGUUUCUGAUGCUUGGAGAUGGACAAGUAAUUACCUCCUGUCUGUGACUAUUUUCUACCAGGCUAAGCCCAAUGUUUAUUGUAAACUAUCUGCCAUUAAAAGCUGUAAUAGCAAGCCUUAUGUUCCCACACCAUAAAUUUGACUUGCAGUGUUUUUUUAUUUACCUUCAUGUUUUAUUAUAUUCUUUGGAAUGUUUCAUUUUAAAGGAAGAUAACGGGAGAAUGAAAAUUGAACAAAUUCCAAAUUCACGCUUGAAUAAAGAUAUGCUUAACACACAUACUUUUUGCAUACACCCAGACCUCUGAUGGCCACUUUCUGAAUAUUGGCAGCUUCUCUGUAACUAUUAGAGGUAGUUGCUAUAAGUGUAUCACUUGUUAAAUGGUCCUGAAAGUAGCCUAAAAAUGAAAGUUUAAGCAGACCACAUGGGCUGAGGGCAGUGAUUCUCAAACUUUUGCAUCUCAUGAACACCCUUAUUCGAAGACCCCAAAGAGCUUUUGUUUGUGUGAUUAUAUUUAUCAAUACUUACUGCAUAAGAAAUUAGAGCUGAGACAUUUAAAAAUGCUUAUUUAUUUAUUCGUUUAAAAAUAACAAUAGGGCCAGGCACGAUGGUGGCUCAUUCCUGUAAUCCCAGCACUUUAGGAGGCCGAGGUGGGAGAAUCACUUGAGCCCAGGAAUUUGAGACCAGCCUGGGCAACAUGGCAAAAUCCCGUCUCUACAAAAAAAUUUUUAAAAUUAGCCAGGUGUCGGCCGGGCACGGUGGCUCACGCCUGUAAUCACAGCACUUUGGGAGGCCAAGGCGGGUGGAUCAUGAGGUCAUGAGAUCGAGACCAUCCUGGCUAACACGGUGAAACUCUGUCUCUACUAAAAAUACAAAAAAUUAGCCGGGCAUGGUGGCAGGCGCCUGUAGUCCCAGCUACUCAGGAGGCUGAGGCAGGAGAAUGGCGUGAACCCGGGAGGUGGAGCUUGGCAGUGAGCAGAGAUCAUGCCACUGCGCUCCAGCCUGGGCGACAGAGCGAGACUCGGUCUCAAAAAAAAAAUUAGCCGGGUGUCUUGGCAUGCCCCUGUGGUCCCACUACUCAGGAGGCUGAGGUGGGAGGAAAACCUGAGCUUGGCGGGGGUCGAGGCUGCAGUGAGCUGUGGUCACACCACUGCGAUCCGGCCUGAGCAACAGAGUGAGACCUGUCUCAAAAAACAAACAAAUGAAAAAACCCCAAACCAAUAAAUCAUUAUAUGUUAACAUAAAUACCAUUUUUAAUGAAAAAUAACUAUUUUCUGUAGCAAAAAAAAAAAAGUUUAAUAAGAAGAGAGAGAUUGUUUUGGAUUCUGUUUGACUUUAGAAGACAGCUGGAGUCUCAUAUCUGCUUCUUCAGUCUGCUGUAAUAUGUUGCUUUGGUUGAAAUAUAUGAAAAAAACCUGCCCCUACACAGAUAUGUAGUUGUAAAAGGGAAUAUUUUAACAGCCUUUUCAAAUAAUUAUGGAUAUUCUGCUUUGAUCCCAGACCAAAACUUGACAAGUGGAGUUUUUUUUUUUUUUGAGAUGAAGUCUUGCUCUGUCACCUAGGCUGGAGUACAGUGGUAGGAUCUCAGGUCACUGCAACUUCCACCUCCCAGGUUCAAGUGAUUCUCCUGCCUCAGCCCCCCGAGUAGCUGGGACUACAGGUGUGUGCCACCACGCCCGGAUAAAUUUUGUAUUUUUAGUAGAGAUGGGGUUUUGCCAUGUUGGCCAGGCUGGUCUUGAACUCCUGACCUCAAGUGGUCCACCUGCCUCAGCCUCCCAAAGUGCUGGGAUUACUGGUGUGAGCCACCACUCCCAGCCAAAAUAAACAUUUCUGUUUUUUUUUUUUUUUUUUUUUGGACAGGGUUUCCCUCUAUCACCCUGGCUGGAGUACAAUGGUUCAAGUGAUUCUUGUGCCUCAGCCUCCCAAGUAGCUGGAUUACAGGAAUGCGCCACCACUCCUGGCUAAUUUUUCUUUUUUUUCCUUUCUUUCUUUCUUUUUAUUUUAUUUUAUUUUAUGCUUUUUUAAAGCAGAGGCAAGGUUUCACCAUGUUGGCCAGGCUGGUCUUGAACUCCAGACCUCAGAUGAUCCACCCGCCUCAAUCCAAAGUGCUGGGAUUAUGGGUGUGAGCCACCACGCCCAGCAAUUAAGUGUUAGUUUCUUAAAGGUUAGUUGCAAUGUGGAAAUUAAAAUCCUUUCAGUGGAUUUUUUUUUAAACUAAUAGAUUUUAUUUUUUUUUAGAGCAAUUUUAGGUUUAAAGAAAAUGAGACCAUUUGGAGGGUUCUUAUGUGCCCCCUUUCGCCACAUUUUCCUAUAUUAACAUCAUGCAUUAAUGUGGCACAUUUGUUAACAAUUGAUGAAUCAAUAAUACUGUACAUGAUUAUUAAACUAAAGCUCAUAGUUUACAUUAGGAUUAAUUAUUUGUGAUAUACAGUUCCAUGGGUUUGGACAAAUGUAUAAUGAUAUGUGUCCACUAUUACAGUAACCUAUAGAAUAAUUUUACUGCCCUAAACCCUCCCUGUGCUCCUCCUAUUCAGCCCUUCUCUUCUUCCCCUGAACCCUUGGCAACCACUGAUCUUUUGACUAUCUUUAUAGGUUGCCUUUUCUAGAACAUCAUAUACACUUGACCUUUAAACAGCAGGAGUUUUAACUGCACAGGUCCUCUUUCACAAGAUUUUUUUUUGUGUUGAGACAGAGUCUCGCUCUAUCUCCAGGCUGGAGUGCAGUGGCGUGAUCUCGGCUCACUGCAACCUCCGCCUCCUGGGUUCAAGUGAUUCUCCUGCCUCAGCCUCCCGAGUAGCUGGGACUACAGGCGUGCCACCAUGCCCAGCUAAUAUUUUUAGUGGAGAUGGGGUUUCACCAUGUUGGCCAGGCUGGUCUUGAACUCCUGACCUCAGGUGAUCCGCCCAUCUCGGCCUCCCAAAGUGCUGGGAUUAUAGGCGUGAGCCACUGCACCUGGCCAAGAUUUUUUUCAAUGAAAGUUACACAGAAUGUGCUUGCCUCUCCUGUCACCGCUCCCACUUCCUCUACCUCUUCUGCCCCUGCAACCCUUGAGACAGCAAGACCAACCCUCUUCUUCCUCUUCCUUCUCAGCCUACACAGCGUGAAGACAAGGAUAAAGACCUUUAUUUUAUUUAUUCAUUUUUUUUUAAGGUGGAAGUCUUGCUAUGUUGCCCAGGCUGGAGUGCAGUGGCAUGAUCGUAGCUCACUGCAGCCUCAAACUCCUGGGCUCAAGGAAUUCUCCCACCUCAGCCUCCUGAGUAGCUGGGACUGCAGGUAUGCACUACCCUCUAGGCCAAGGAUAAAAACCUUGUGAUGAUCCAGUUCCACUUAAUAAAUAGUAAAUAUAUUUUCUGUUCCUUUUGAUUUUCUUUUUUCUUAUUUUUUAAAAGACGGGAUCUAACUCUGUUGCUGAGGCCGGAGUGCAAUUGUACAAUCUUGUCUCACUACAGCCUCAACCUUCUGGGCUCAAGCAAUCCUCCUGCCUUAGCCUCCCGAGUAGCUAGGACUACAGGUGCGUGCCAGUCCACCUGGACAAUUUUUUUUUUUUUUUUUUUGUAGAGAAGGGGUCUCACCAUAUUGCCCAGGUGGGUUUUGAACUCCUGGCUUCAAGCAAUCUUCCUUCCUUGGCCUCCCAAAACGUUGGGAUUCCAGGUGUGAGCCACUGCCCCCAGCCGGCCUUUCCUUAUGAUUUUCUUAAUAUUUUUUCUUUAUUUUAAGAAUACAGUAUAUUAUAUAUAUAUAUAUAUUAGAAAAUACAUGUUAAUUGACUGCUUAUGUUACCAGUAGGGCUUCUGGUCAACACAAGACGAUUAGUAGUUAUGUUACUGGGGACUUAAAAGUUAUACUCAGAUUUUCAACUGCACACCUACCCCCCUGUGUUGUUCCAGGGUCAGCUGUAAUUGGAAUCAUACAACACAUAGACUUUUCAGAUGGGCUUCUUUCACUAAGCAAUAUGCAUUUAAUGUUCCUUUUUGUGGAUUGAAUGCUCAUUAAUUUUGCUCACUGACUAUUCCACUGUAUGAAUAUACUACAGUUUAUUCAUUCACCUUUUGAAAAAUAUCUUGGUUGCUUCUAGUUUUUAGCAAUUAUGAAUAAAGUUACUAUAAACAUUUGUGUGCAGAUUUUUGUGUGGGCUAAGUUUCCAACUCUUUUUGGUAAAACCCUAGGAGUAUGAUUGCUGGGUCAGAUGGUAAGAAUACAUUUAGCUUUAAAAGAAAUGUAAACUGCCAAACUGUCUUCAAAAGUGGCUGCACUAUUUUGCAUCCCCACUAGCAAUGAAUGAGAGUUUCUAUUGCUCCACAUCUUUGCCAGCAUUAGGUAUUAAUAGGUUUUUGGAUUUUAGCCAUUCUAAUAUGAGUAUAGUAGUAUCUCAUUGUUGUUUUAAUUUGCAAUUCUCCAGUGACAUAUGAUGCUGAGUAUCUUUUCAUGUUUAUUUGCCAUCUGUGUAUUUUCUUUCUUUCUUUUUUUUUUUUUUUUUUGAGACAGGGUCUCACUCUGUUGCCCAGGCUGGAGUGCAAUGGCACAAUCUCAGCUCACUGCAACCUCCGCCUCCCAGGUAAAAGUGAUUCUUCUGCCUCAGCCUCCCAAGUAGCUGGGACUACAGGUGCGCACCACCACAAAGGGCUAAUUUUUAUUUUUAGUAGAGACAGGGUUUCACCAUGUUGGCCAGGCUGGUCUUGGACUUCUGACCUCAAAUGAUCUGCCCGCCUUGGACUCCCAAAGUGCUGGGAUUACAGGCGUGAGCCACCAUGUCCAGCCUACCAUCUGUAUUUUCUUGGGGGAGGUAGCUUUUCAACUCUUUUGCCCAUUUUUAAAAUUUGGUUGUUUGCUACUGCUGAGAUUUAAGGUUUUAAGAGUUCUUUGUGUAUAUUGGAUACUGGUCUUUUAUCAGAUAAGUGUGCUAUUUAAUUUUUGUUUUCUUUUCUUUUUUGAGACAGUCUCACUCUGUUGCCCAGGCUGGAGUGCAGUGGUGAAAUCAUAGCUCGCUGCAGCUGUGAACUCCUAGGCUCAAGCCAUCCUUCUGCCUUGGCCUCCUGAGUAUCUAGGACUAUAGAUGUGCACUACCAUGCCUGGCUAAUUUUUAUUUUAUUUUAUUUUUUAUUUUCAAAUUUUUCUGUAGAGAUAAGUCUUACUAUGUUGCCCGGACUGGUCUCAAAUUUCUGGCCCCAAGAAAUCCUCCUGCCUUGUUAUGUUUUUUUUCUUUAUCAGAUAUGUGUUUUGCAAAUAUUUUCUCCCAAUCUGCAGAGAAAAUAUGUGGCUUGUCUUUCCAUUCUCUUAAACCACUGGAUCUUUCACACUACGACCGUUUGGUGCCACUACCCUGAUGCCUGCUAAACCAUCAGUGUUUGUGUAACAUCACACUGUUGUUUGUGUAAUAUCAGUGCAAAUUGUGUAACGUCACAACAAACACAUCAUUGUUUGUGUAACAUCAGUGCAAAUUUUAAUACAAAGGAAAGGCAAAAGACAUCUUAGUAUUAUUGUGAAAAUAGUUUUAAUUUUGCGGACAUACGAUCAAGGCCCAUGGACCAUACUUUGAGAACUACUGGCCUAAAGCAAACAAGGAUAGCCUGUACUACUCUUUAGUUCAGGCCUCAGUAAGACCAAAUAGAAUAAGAAAUUUGAAUUUUACAAAUAUGUAAUGUUAAUUUACUUUUCUGCAAAAAGAGGUUUGGAAGACACAUAAGAUAUAUAAUUCAUUGAACUUGGUGUUCUAAUUCAUUAGGAAGAGCCCAUUUUGUUUACAUAUUUUUUGCUGGUGAUUUUUGAGAGAAUAUAAUUUUUAUUUAUUUAUUAUUUAUUUAUUUAUUUAUUUAUUUAUUUAUUUUUUGAGACGGAGUCUCAUUCUGUUGCCAGGCUGGAGUGCAGUGGUGUGAUCUCAGCUCACUGCAACCUCCAACUCCCUGGUUCAAGCGAGUCUCCUGCCUCAGCCUCCUGAGUAGCUGGGAUUACAGGCACGCACCACCACGCCCAACUAAUUUUUGUUUUUUUAGUAGAGACAGGGUUUCACCAGGUUGCUCAGGAUGGUCUCAAUCUCCUGACCUCGUGAUCUGCCUGCCUCCCAGAGUGCUGGGAUUACAGGCAUGAGCCACUGCGCCUGGCCUAUAAUUUUUAUUUUUAAAGAAAUACUUUGUAUGUGUAUGUGUGUCUGUGUGUAAAUAUAUCAAGUAGAGUGUAUGGGCCAAUGAAUGUCUCUCUCUUUUUUUUCUGGAGUGCAGUGGCAUAAUCAUGGCUCACUACAGCCUCAAACUCCUGGGCUCAAGUGAUACUUCCACUUCAGCCUCCUGAGUAGCUGGGAUGACAGGCGUGCACCACCACACCCAGCUAACUUUAAAAUUUUUGUAGAGAUAGAGUCUAUGUUGCCCAGAUUGGUCUUGAACUCCUGGGCUCAAGCAAUCCUCCUGCCGCAGCCUCCUAAAGUGCUGGGAUUACAGGUGUCAGCCACCGUGCCUGGCCCUAAAUGUCUCUUAAUGGCAAAUAAUAGGUAGAUAAUGCCUAGUAACGGGUUUAUGAUAUAUUUGUCUAUAUAGACAAACAUAUAGUACCCCAAACUUUUUCCUUUUUCUCCUAGAAAGAAAAAGCAUAUUUUCUUUCCUUCUGGUAGAUGUACUUUUCCCUAUUCCUUCCAUUAAGUACAACCCAAAACCCUGAAUAUUAUAUAUUAAACAAACAUGAGAAGACUCUGAAAGGGGGGGAAGAAAAGGAGGGCAGAAUGUCUAUGGACUGCAGGACCUGAAGAACAACAUUGCAGUGACUUACUUUGUUUUUAUUUUUGACUCAUAUACACCAGACUUGGAGUUGAAAAAGGUAGCAACCUGGAAAUGCCAACAGGAGUAGUCGAAAAAGCCCAACCAAAGCCUGCUGUCUUUAGCCAAAGAACCAUGGAAGAGGCAGCCUAGCAAGAUAGAGAAGUUUUAAACAUCACUAUGGAUUGCAUUGUGUCUCCCCAAAAUUCAUGUCGAAGCCUUAACUCCCAGUGUAAUUGUAUUUGGAGAUGGGGCCUUUGGGAGAUAAUUAGGGUUAGAUGAAGUAAUGAGAAUAAGGCCCUCAUGAUGGAAUCAGCAGCUUUAUAAGAAGAAUGAUGGGGUUGGGUGCAGUGGCUCACAUCUGUAAUCCCAGCGCUUUGGAAGGCCGAGGUGGGAAGAUCACUUGAGGUCAGGAGUUCAAGACCAGCCUGGCCAACAUGGUGAGACCCCGUCUCUACCAGAAAAUACAAAAAUUAGCCGGGCAUGGUGGUGCACGUCUGUAAUCCCAGCUACUCGUUGGGAUGAGGUUGAGGCAUGAGAAUCGCUUGAACACAGGAGGUGAAGGUUACAGUGAGCCAAGAUUGUGGCCUGCUGCACUCCAGCCUGGGAGACAGAAUGAGACCCUAUCAAGAAAAAAAAAAAAAGAGGAGUGGAGAGAGAUCAUUCUCUCUGCCAUGUGAAGACACAGUAAGAAGCUGAUCAUCUGCAACCCAGAAAGAGAGCCCUUGCCAGGAACCAAAUUGGUUAGCAUCUUGACCUUAGACUCCCUAACUUCCAAAACUGAGAAACAUAAAUGUCUGUUGUUGAAGCCACCAGUCUAUAUUUUGUUGUAGCAGCCUGAGAAGACUAAUACAGACAAUAACUGCUCUACUCAGCCAAACACCACAGCAAACGCUUUGGCCCCCACCCAUGCCAACAAAGGCUGAGUGGGGAGCCUACGAUUCCACCCUUAUGAGGCUAUAAUGCGGCACCUCACCCACCAGGGUUGUGUCAGAGAAGGCCAAGUAGAGAGUCAAUAAUAAGUCCACUCUCCACCUGGCCCCCAUGGUAUCAGUGGAGACCAUGUGGGAAGCCUACACUUGCACCCCCAAAAGGCAGUAAUGAAGUGCUCCUCUUCAUUCCUGCUCAGUGGUAUCAGAGUAGGACUAGCGGAGAGUCUAGACUUUUACCAUCAUCCAAUGGUAAUAAGGCAACCCCCAUCUCAGUGUCAGUGGAGACCACCUGGGGAGCCAGAAUGCCAACAUCUGCCCAGCCAUAAUGAGAAGUGUAACUAAGAUGCCAACAGAGGCUGAGUGAACCUAGUCUUCUACCUGCACCUGUCAGUAAUGGGUUGGUGUCUUUCCUCCUCUGCUGGAGUAAUGUCAAAAAAAGCCAGCUAAAAUAAAGAGUUAACGUAAAAUUAAUAGCCUUAUAAAAAUGUCCAAGUUUCUUUCUUUCUUUUUUUUUUUUUGUGAUACGGAGUUUUGCUAUUGUUGCCCAGGCUGGCGCGAUCUCGGCUCACCGCAACCUCCGCCUCCUGAGUUCAAGUGAUUCUCCUACCCCAGCUUCCCGAGUAGCUGGGAUUACAGGCAUGCAUCACUGUGCCUGGCUAAUUUUUUGUAUUUUUAGUAGAGACGGGGUUUCUCCAUGGUGGUCAGGGUGGUCGCAAACUCCCGACCUCAGGUGAUACAUGCGCCUUGGCUUCCCAAAGUGCUGGGGUUACAGGUAUGCACCACCGUGCCUGGCCCAAAAAUGUCCAAGUUUCAACUGAAAAUCACUAAUCAUACCAAGAGCCAGGAAGUUCUCAAAUGAAAUGAAGAAAAGCCAAUCAAUAAAUGCCAAUACCAAGAUGACAGAGAUGUUAGAAUUAUAUGACAAAGAUGUCAAAGCAGCCAUUACAAAAAUGCUUCAAAAGCAAUUCUGAACACACUUGAAACAAAUUAGAAAGUAGACAGCCUCAGGAAACAAAUAUAAUAUAUAAAGAUGAACCAAAUGAAAAUUUUAAAACUUAAACACAAUAACUGAAAUUAAAAAGUCAGUGGUUGGACAUAAUACCAGGAUAGAGAGGGAACAGAGAAAAAAAUCAGUGGAAGGAAGAUAGAAUAAUAAAAAGUACUCAAUCUUAACAACAAAGUACCCAAAGGAAUAAUGGCUGAAAACGUCUCAAAUUUGGUAAGAGACAAGAAGAUGGGCAAACCUCAAAGAAGACAAAGCCCAAAUAAAUCUAUACCAAGACACAUUAUAAUGAAACUUCUGAAACCCAGAGACCAAGAGAAAAAUCUUAAAAGCAGCCAGGAAAAAAAAAAAAAAAACACCCAGGGAAAAAACCUAUUUGAAUGACAGUGGAUUUCUUAUCAGAAACCAUGGGGGCCAUAAGUAAGUGGUACAGUGUUUUUCAAGUGCUGAAAGAAAAGAACUGUCAAUCCAGAAUCCUAUAGUUAGUAAAAAUAUUCUUCAGAAAUGAAGAGGAAACCAAGAUAUUCUCAGAUGAAGAAAAACUAAAUUUUUCACCAGCAGAAUUACUCUAAAAGAAUGGCUAAAGGAAGUUCUCUAAACAAAUGAAAAAACAGAAGAGGGAAAUUUGGAGCAUCAGAAAAGGAAGUGAUAAAAGAAAACUUGGAGCAUCAGAAAGAAUACAAUAAGCAAAAAAGGGGGAGAGUAAACACAAUAGUUUUUCCUUCUAUUCUUCAGUUUUUGUUUUGUUUUGUUUUGUUUUGAGACGCUCUGUCACCCAGGCUGAAGUGCAAUGGCACAAUCUUGGCUCACUGCAACCUCUCCCUCCCGAAUUCAAGCAAUUCCCCCUGCCUCAGCCUCCCAAGUAGCUGGGAUUACAGGUGCCCACCACCAUGCCAGGCUAAUUUUUGUUUUUUUUAGUAGAGAUGGGGUUUCACCAUGUUGGUCAGGCUGGUCUCGAACUCCUGACCUCAAGUGAUCUGCCUGCCUCGGCCUCCCAAGGUGCUAGGAUUACAGGCGUGAGCCACCGUGCCCAACCUAUUCUUCAGUUUUUUAAAAAUAUAUUUAAUAGUUGAAGUAAAAAUGACAUGUUUUAUAUGGUUCUAAAAGUAUGCAGAGGAAAUAUUAAGACAAUUGUAUUAUAAAUAGUGGAGGGCAACAGGAUUUAAAGGGAAACACAAUUUCUAUAUUUCAUUUAAACUGGCAAAAUAAUGACACUAGUAGACUAUAAUGGGUUAUGUAUAUAUAAUGUAAUACCUACAGCACUACCUAAAAAGCUAUACAAAGCUUUUCAAAAGUUAUCCAAAAUGCUGUAGAUAAAAUGAAAUUUUAACAGAAGUAUGAGUAACCCACAGGAAAGCAGAAGAAAGAAAACAGAGAAAUGAAAAAUAGAACAAACAGAAAGGAAAAAAUAAAAUCAGAGAUUUAAGGCCUAACACAUCAAUAAUUACAUUAAAUGUAAGUGGUAGAAGCAGGUCAACUUUAAAAGAGAGAGAUUGGCAGAGUGGAUUUUAAAACACAACCCAACUGUAUACUGUCUAUGAGAAACUCACUUCAAAUAUAAUGAUAUAGGAAGGUUAAAAGCAAAAGGAUAGAAAAAUAUGUCAUGCAAACAUUAAUCAAAAGAAAGCAAGGGUGGCUGUAUUAAUAUCAGAUAAAGCAGACUUCAGAGCAAAGAAAAUUUCCAGAGACAGAGAGAGCCAUUAUAUAAUGAUAAAAGGGUCAAUCCACCAAAAAGACAUAGCAAUCUUAAAUGUGUAUGCACCAAACAACAGAGCUGCAAAUCACAUGAAGUAAAACUGAUAGAACUGAAAGGAGAUAUACACAUAUCCAGUUAAAACUGGAGAAAGAUAACAGGAAAAUCUUCAAACUAAAGAACACACAUCUAAAUAACAAAGGAGUCAAAAAAGAGAUCUCAAGGGAAAUUAAAAAAUACAUUGAACUGGGUGAAAAUAAACAUACCAUGUGUCCAAAUUUGUGGAACGCAGCCAAAGUAAUACCGAGAAGGAAAUAUAUAGCACUAAAUGCAUAUGUUAGAAAAGAGGAAAAGUCCAAAAUCAAUCUAUGAUCCCCCUGUAAGAACGUAGUAAAAGAUGAGCAAAAUAAAUCCAAAGUGAGAAGAAAAUAAUAAUGAACAAAAAUCAAUGACAUUGAACACACACACAAAUGGAAAAAUCAAUUAACCAAAGAUCUGAUUUUUUGAAAAGAUCAAUAAAAUUGACAAACCUCUAGCAAGACUGACAAAGUAGGAAAGAAAGACACAAAUUGUCAAUAUCAGGAAGGAAAUAGGUGAAAUCACUAUAGACACUGCAGACAUCAAAAGGAUAAUAAGGGAAUACUACGAACAACUCUAAAUAUUAUAAAUAUGACAAUCUAGAUGAAAUGGACCAAUUCCUGGAAAAACACAAAGUACCACAACUCUUCAAUAGGAAAUAGAUAAUUUGAGUAACCCUACAACUAAAAAGAAAUUGAACUUAUAAUUUUAAAACUCCCUAAAAGGAAAUCUCCAGGCCCAAGUUGUUUCACUGGAGAUUUCUACCAAACACUUAAAGAAUUACUAAACCAAUUCUUGCCUGGGUGCAGUGGCUCACGCCUGUACUCCCAGCACUUUGAGAGGCUGAGGCAGGCGGAUCACUUGAGCCCAGGAGUUCGAGAACAGCCUGCGCAACAUGGCAAAACCACAUCUCUACAAAAUAUACAUAUAUAAAAUUAGCCGGGCAUGGUGGCAUGAGCCUGUGGUCCCAGCUACUCAGGAGGCUGAAGCAGAAGAAUCACCUGAACCGGGGAGGCAAUGGUUGCAGUGAGCUAAGGUCACACCACUGCACUCCAACCUGGGUAACAGAGCAAGACCCUGUCUCAUAAUUAAACCAAUUCUACAUUCUCUCUUUCAGAAAAUACAAGAGGAGCGAGCACUUCCCAAUAUUGGCAAUAUUUUAUAAUGCCGAUAUUACCUUAAUACCAAAACCAGACAAAGACAACACAGAAAAGAAAACUACAGACCAAAAUCAUUAGUGAAUAUAGAUACAAAAUUCCUUAAUAAAAUAUUAGCAAGUAGAAUUCAGCUAUAUUGUAAAAAAUGUACACACUAAGACUAAGCAGAGUUUUUUUCAGGGAUGCAAGCCUGGUUCAUCAUUCAAAAAUCAGUCAGUGACCUCCACUAUAUUAACAGGCUAAAGAAGAAAGAUCACAUAAUAAUAUCAAUAGAUUCAGAAAAAGCAUUUAACAAAAUUCAACAGUUAUUCAUGAUAAAAACUCCCAGAAAAACAGGAUUAGAAAGAGACCACCUUACUUGAUAAAGAGCAUCUAUAUGAAAAAAUAGAACAAACAGAAAACAAAAAAUAAAAUCACAGAUUUAAGACCUACAGAUUUAAGACCUACAGCUAACAUUUUACUUAAUCAUGAAAGACUGAAGCUUUCCCCCUAAAGUUGGGAACACGGAAAGGACGCUGCUUUUAUCACUUUUAUUGAACAUAGUGCUGGAAGUCCUAGCCAGUGCAAUAAGGUAAGAAAAGAAAGUAAAUGGCAUACAGUUUGGGAAGAAAGAAAUAAAACUAUCCCCAUUUGCAGAUGAUGUAAUUGACCACAUCGAAAAUCCAGAAGAAUCUGCCAAAAAAAAAAAAAAAAACACCUCAUGGAACCAAUAAGUGAGAUCAACAAGGUUGCAUGACAUGAGAUGAACAUAUGAAAAAAAUUAUAUUUCUACAAACUAGCAAUGAACACGUGGACAUCUAAAUUAAAAAUGUAAUAUUAACAAUCGCUCAAAAAUAUGAAAUAGGUAUAAAUCUAACAAGACAAGUACAGGACAUUUAUGCUGUAAAUUAUGUAAUGUGAUGAAAAAUAACAAGAUCUAAAUAAAGGGAAUAAUAGUCCGUGUUGGUGGAUUGGAGACUCAACAUAGUAAAGAUAUCAGUUCUCCCCAAAUAGAUAUAGUGGUUUAAUGUAAUUCCCAUUAAAAACUCAGCAAGAUCUUUUGGUAGCUGUAGACAAGAUUAUUCUGGAAUUUAUAUGGAAAGUCCAAACAAAAAGCUAAGGGGCAAAACCCGGGCUGGGAUAGGGCAUGAGGCAGUGCGUUGGGACAUCCCUUGCAUCAGGCUCAACGGUGUCUGUCACUGUGUGGCUGGCUGGGAUGCUUGGGGUGGGUCAGGGGCAGGUGUAGCCUCUUUGCCUCAUUGUCCCCUAGCACCACAGGCUGCCAGCACCAUGAAGUUAUGGACUUUGGCACACGUCUUUGACCACCUGUGGGAAAUUGUUACAACAGUUGCAAUGCAGAAAUAUCCAAACUCUAUGAGCCUGAGUGUGGUUGGAGUUGAUGUGUUGGACAGACAUAUAGAUCCCUCUGGUUCCCUUCUCAGCACAGAGAGGGGGCUGCUUCCAUUGUGAAGUCUCUAAUUGGUGCAGCAAGAACCAAAACAUAUGUGCAAGAACAUUCUGUAGUUGAUCAUGUAGAGAAAACAAUGGAACUUAAAUCUACUAACAUUUCAUUUACAAAUAAGGUUUCAGUAGAUGAGAGACUUAUAGAAAAGCCACAUCCUCGGGACAGAAAAAAAACUAUUUUGACUCAAGAAGCCAUAAUCACUGUGAAAGGAGUCAGCCUCAGCAGUUACCUUGAAGGACUGAUGGCAAGGCUGAGAAGCAAUGGAAUGGGUAAUACACAAAUUAAAUGCUGAGAUUGAAGAACUGUUGGCCUCUGCAAGAGGAAGCAUAGGGACUCCGAUGGCAGCAGCAGAGCAUUUGCAGAGAAAUAAUCAUGAAAGUUGUUAGACAACGUCAGUUACCCCAGGUCUCUCCAAGCUAACUAUAUAUUUAUUUGUUAUUUUAAAAAUAGAACUAUCUUUUAGGUAGAAUUUUUUUAAAAUAUGCUGAUGUAAGGCUAUGUGACUUUUGAUCAAAACAAAGAGAUGCAGGGCUUCUAAAUAAAAGUGAUCAUUAGAAAUUUUUAAAAAGAAAAGCUAAAACAAUUUUGAAUAAGAAGAGUAAUGGGGGAGUAAUCAGUCUACCCAAUUUCAAGGCUUACUCUGAAGCUACAGUAAUCAAGACUGUGUAGUGCUGGCGAAGAGAGAGACACAUUAGACACAUAUAUUAAUGUAAUAGAUUAAAGAAUCUAGAAAUAGACCCCUACAGAUAUGUCCAGUGGAUUUUUGACCAAGAUGUAAGAACAGUUCAAUACAGGAAAGAUAGACUUUUCAACAAAUGGUGUUGGAGCAACUGGAUAUUCAUAGGAGAAAAAAAAAAAAGGAACUUGGCCUAACUCACACACCUUAUACAAAAAUUAACUCAAAAGAUUGUGAACUUAAAUGGGAAAUGUAAAACUAUAAGAUUGUUUAGAAAAAAUAGGAGAAAAUAUUUGGAAUCUAAGCUUAUGCAAAGAGAUUUUAGAUUUGACCCACAAACGGGAUCCAGAAGAGGAAAAAUUGAUAUACUUGAUGUCAUCAAAAUAAAAAAAUUUGCUCUGAAAAGACCUCAUUAAGAGGAUAAAAGCUCCCUAUUCAAUAAAUGGUGCUGGGAUAACUGGCUAGCCAUAGGCAGAAGAUUGAAGCUGAACCCCUUCUUUAUACCAUGUACAAAAAUCAAAGUCUUUAAUCCAACUUUAAGAUGAAUUAAAGACUUAAAUGUAAAACCCAAAAUUAUAAAAACCCUGGAAGACUACCUAGGCAAUACCAUCCUGGACAUAGGAACUGGCAAAGAUUUCAUGACAAAGACAUCAAAAGCAAUCACAACAAACGCAGAACUUGACAAAUAGGAUCUAAUUAAACUUAACAGCUUCUGCACAGCAAAAGAAACUAUCAACAGAGUUAACAGACAACCUACAGAAUGGGAUAAGAUAUUUGCAAUCCAUGCAUCUGACAAAGGUCCAAUAUCCAGCAUCUAUAAGGAAUUUAAACAAAUUUACAAGAAUAAAACAACCUCAUUAAAAAGUGGGCAAAGGAUAUGAACAGACAAUGUUCAAAAGAAGACAUACCUGCAGCCAACAAGCAUAUGAAAAAAGCUCAAUAUCGCUGAUCGUUAGAGAAAUGCAAAUCAAAACCAAAAUGAGAUACCAUCUUACACCAGUCAGAAUGGCUAUUAUUAAAAAGUCAAAAAGUAACAGAUGCUGGUGAGGUUGGAAAGAAAAGGGAACACUUAUACACUGUUGGUGAGAGUGUUCAACCAUUGUGUAAAGCAGUAUGGCAAUUCCUUAAAGAGCUAAAAGCAGAACUACCAUUCAACUCAACAAUCCCAUUACUGGGCAUAUAUCCAGAGAAAUAUAAAUCAUUCUACCAUAAAGACACAUGUGAGGCCAGGCGCGGUGGCUUACACCUGUGAUCCUAGCACUUUGGGAGGCCGAGGCGGGCAGAUCACGAGGUCAAGAGAUCGAGACCAUCCUGGCUAACACGGUGAAACCCCAUCUCUACUAAAAAUACAAAAAAUUAGCCGGGCGUGGUGGUGGGCGCCUGUAGUCCCAGCUACUCGGGGCAGAAGAAUGGCGUGAACCCGGGAGGCAGAGGUUGCAGUGAGCCGAGAUCGCACCACUGUGCUCCAGCCUGGGCCACAGAGUGAGACUCCGUCUCAAAAAAAAAGAAAAAAAAAAAAGACACAUGCGUAUAUGUUCAUUGCGGCACUAUUCAAAAUAGCAAAUACAUGGAAUCAACCUAAAUGCCCAUCAAUGACAGAUUGGAUACAGCAAAUGUGAUACAUAUACACCAUGGAAUACUAUACCACCAUAAAAAAGAACGAAAUCAUGUCUUUUGCGGGAACGUGGAUGGGGCUGGGUGCUAUUAUCCUCAGCAAACUAAUGCAGGAACGGAAAACCAAAUAUCGCAUGUUCUCGCGUAUAAGUUGGGGAGCUAAAUGAUGAAAACUUAUGAACACAAAGAUGGGAACAACAGAUACUGGGGCCUACUUGAUGGUGAAGGGUGGAGGGUGGGAGGAGGGGGGAGGAGCAGAAAAAUCACUAUGGGUACUAGGCUUAAUACCUGGGUGACAAAAUAAUCAGUACAACAAGCCUCUGUGACAUAAGUUUACCUAUAUAACCAACCUGCACGUGUACCCCCAAACCUAACAUAAAAGUUUUUUUUAAAGAGGAUAAAAAGACAAGUUAUGUGCAAAUUUCUGUAGAGAAAAUAUUUGUAAGCUACAUAUCUGACAAAGGACUAGUACUGGAAUAUAUAAAGAACUCUCAAAACUCAACAGUCAAAAAAGCAAAAAUCCAAUUAGAAGGUAGAGAAAAGACAUGAAGAAGAUAAUACAGAUGGCAAAUAAACACAUGAAAAGAUGUUUAAUAUCAUUAGCCAUUAGGGAAAUGCAAAUUAAGGCCACAAUGAGAUACCACUACAUGCCCAUCAGAGUAGCUAAAAUGCAAAACAGUGAAAACACCAGAUGCUAGCAAGGACACUGGAUCACUCAUACAUUGCUGGUGGAAAUGUAAAAUGGUACAGCCACUCUGGAAAACAGUUUGCCAAUUUCUUUAAAAAUUAAACAUGCAGGCUGGGCACGGUGGCUCACGCUUGUAAUCCCAGCACUUUGGGAGGCUGAGGCAGGUGGAUCACCUGAGAGGUCAGGAGUUCAAGACCAGCCUGGCCAACAUGGUAAAACCCCGUCUCUACUAAAAAUACAAAAAAAAUUAGCCGGGUGUGGUGGCAGAUGCCUGUAAUCCCGGCUACUCGGGAGGCUGAGGCAGGAGAAUCCCUUGAACCCAGGAGGAGAGGUUGCAGUGAGCUGAGAUUGCGCCACUGCACUCCAGCCUGGGCAACAAGGCGAGACUCCAUCUCAAAUUAAAAAAAAAAAAAGAAAAAAAAUUAAACAUGCAGCCAAGCACAGUGGCUCACGCCUGUAAUCCCAGCAGCUUGGGAGGCUGAGGUUGGUGGAUCACUUGAGGUCAGGAGUUCAAGACCAGCCUGGCCAACACAGUGAAACCCCAUCGCUACUAAAAAUACAAAAAUUAGCCGGGUAUGGUGGUACAUGCCUGUAAUCCCAGCUACCCCAGAGGCUGAGGCAGGAGAAUCGCUUGAACCGGGAAGGUGGAGUUUGCAGUGAGCUAAGAUUGCGCCACUGCACUCCAGCCUGGGCGACAGGGGGAGACUCCAUCUCCAAAAAAAAAAAAAAAAAAAAAAAAAAAAAAAUUAAACAUGCAACUACCAUACAAUCCAGCAAUCACACUCUUGGACAUUUAUUUCCCCAAAAUGAAGACUAUAUUCACACAAAAACAUGUACAUGAAUACUAACCCUACUUGUAUUCAUUAUAGUAAAAACUAGACACCCAGAUGUCCUUCAGUAGGUGAACAGUGAAACAAACGAUGGUCCAUCUGGAAUACUUCUGAGCAAUAAAAAGGAACAAACGAUUGAUAAACACAACCACCCCUGGAUGACUCUUGAGAGAAUUAUGCUGAGUGAAUAAUAAAGUCAAUUGCAGAAGUCUAUAUACUGUAUAGUUUUAUUUACAUGACAUUCCUGAAAUGACAAAAUUAUAGAAAUAGACUCAUGGUUGCCAGGGGUUAAGGAGUGGGGAAUGGGAGGGAAGUAGACACGGUCAUAAGAGGGUAACAUGGGGGAUCCUUACGGUGAUAGAAAUGUAUCCUUUGAGUCCAGAUUUCAGCUGGUCUGCAGCAAGGACUCUCCCAGCGGUAGGGAGGCUCACUCAAAAAGUCAUGGCCCAGGGCCGGGUGUGGUGGCGCACACCUGUAAUCCCAGCACUUAGGGAGGCCAAGGCAGGCAGAUCACAAGGUCAGAAGUUUGAGACCAGCCUGGCCAACAUGGUGAAACCUCGUCUCUACUAAAAAUACAAAAAAAUUAGCUGGGCGUGGUGGCGGGUGCCUGUAGUCCCAGCUACUGGGGAGGCUGAGGCAGGAGAAUGGCGUGAACCUGGGAGGCGGAGCUUGCAGUGAGCCGAGAUCGCGCCACUGCACUCCAGCCUGGGCAACAGAGGAGACUCAGCCUCAAAAAAAAAAAAAAAAAAAAAGGCAUGGACCUAACACCGUAGAUGAUGGGGGCGGCUGUUAUACAGGCUUCAUCUGAGUGUUCUGUGGCUCCCACAUCCAGCCUGGUAUGAAAUUUUGGCAACGUUAACAAAACAACAACAAACAAUCUAUGUCUUAGAGAUACUGAAGAAUAUACAGGUGGGACAGCUGAUGAGAAAUGCUGGAUUCCAUGCUAAGGAGUUUGGUUUGUAUUUUGCAGGCAAAGGGCAUCUAUUGAAGGAUUCUAAGUAGAAAUAGUUACAAGAUCAGAUUUGUAAUUUUGAAAGGUCAUUGGGUUUUGUCCCAGUGGCGUCCUUAAUAGCAAAAGAAAGUCCUGAAUCGCGGGUCGUGCUCUGUUGUCACUUCUCCCUUUAAUCUGAAAUGCUUCCUCAGUGUUUUCGUCGUCCUUCAUGAACUUGACAUUUUUAAGGGUCUGGCUGGUUAUUUUGAAGAAUGUUCCUCGAUUUGGGUUGGUCUGAGGUUUCUUCACGAUCAGAUUCCGCUUAUGCCUUCUGACACAAAUACCGAGAAAUAAUGCGGUGUCCUUCCCCACACAUCAUAUCGGAUGACAGCUUCCAUUCAUUGUGGCAUUUAGAUCACUCAGUUAAGUUGGUGACUUGUCAAAUACCUUUAUUGCAAAGUAAUUAUUUUUCUCUUUGCAAUUAUAAAUUCAUUAUCUUCCUUGUGGAGCGAUAUUUUGAGACAAUUGUAAAUAUCCCGUUACUCCUCAAAUUUUUACCCUCUAGUUUUAGGAAGACUUUAUGAUUCUUGCCUGAAUCAUUUAAUACUAUCAUGGUUGCCAAGUUGGCAAUUUUCUACAUCUGUCAUUCCUUCUAUAUUUAUCAGCUGGCUUUCUUCUGUAAAGCAGAACUUUCCCUUCUCCCCCACUUAUUUACUUAAAUAUGCACAGAGAGAGAGAGAGUGGCGGCGGGGGGACAUGUAUUCUCAUUUUAUUCAAUGAAUCCCUUGACUUUCCAUCAUUCUGCAUCGUGUUAUUAUGUUUUAGGUGUUUCUCUUACAAACAACAUAUAGAUAAAUUUUUUCCAGAUUGACUUUUUUUCUUUUUCUUUUUUUUUUUUUUUUUAGACAGGGUCUUACUCUGUCACCCAGGCUGGAGUGCAGUGGCGUGAUUUCGGCUCAUUGCAACCUCCGCCUCCUGACCUCAAGUGAUCCUCCCAUCUCGGCCUCCCAAAGUGCUGGGAUUACAGGUGUGAGCCACUGCACCCAGCCUCAGAUUGACUUUCUAAUCUUAAAACAGUAAGUUUUUCAUGUAUAUGUGUUGUGAAAAUAAUAUAUAUGGAUUUUUUAUGCAAAAAAGUAGAUUUACAUAUGUUCAAGUAGAAAAAUAUCUAAAAUGUGAUCUUAAGGGGAAAAGUUGCAGGAAAGUGUGUGUAAAAUAAGCCCAUCCAUGAGGGGAAAAGGAUAUGUGUACCUCUACUUUCAUAGUCAUAAAAAUUUCUGGAAGGUCACACAAGAAGUGGGUUAACAUUGGUUACUCUAAGAAGGUGGCUGGGGGGUAGAGGUCUAUUUCUAGCUUUGUAUAUUACUGGAACUUUAACAUCUGUGAACAGGUUUUACUUAGACAAUUCAAACGCCUGAUGUUUGCCUGCUCACAGCCUUUGACAGAUACAGACACUUGCACGGCCAUGUGGUACCCGAGGCUGUUAGAGUUAAUUCCAGGCUGGAUGCCACAUAAGCAGGUGAGAUGCGGGGCCAGGGGAGGCCCCUGACAGAGGAGGACAUCUGAGUGAAGUUCCAAAGUGAGGUGUCUCAGCUUCGUGGAAAGCAUGUAAGCACUGAUGUUAGGCAAGCCCAAAUUUGAGGCUAGCUACUCACUCCCUCUGUGAACUUGGGCAAACUUAUGAGCUUCUGCAAGUCCUACGGGAUUGCUGGGAGGAUUAGAACUGAUCAUAUCUGUGGCUGG
rnacentral:lncRNA from 1 species